rnacentral:rRNA from 1 species
AGUGAACGCUGGCGGUAGGCCUAACACAUGCAAGUCGAACGGCAGCACAGUAAGAGCUUGCUCUUACGGGUGGCGAGUGGCGGACGGGUGAGGAAUACAUCGGAAUCUACUUUUUCGUGGGGGAUAACGUAGGGAAACUUACGCUAAUACCGCAUACGACCUACGGGUGAAAGCAGGGGAUCUUCGGACCUUGCGCGAUUGAAUGAGCCGAUGUCGGAUUAGCUAGUUGGCGGGGUAAAGGCCCACCAAGGCGACGAUCCGUAGCUGGUCUGAGAGGAUGAUCAGCCACACUGGAAGUGAGACAGGGUCCAGACUCCUACGGGAGGCAGCAGUGGGGAAUAUUGGACAAUGGGCGCAAGCCUGAUCCAGCCAUACCGCGUGGGUGAAGAAGGCCUUCGGGUUGUAAAGCCCUUUUGUUGGGAAAGAAAAGCAGCAGGUUAAUACCCCGCUGUUCUGACGGUACCCAAAGAAUAAGCACCGGCUAACUUCGUG